GACGAACGCUGGCGGCGUGCCUAACACAUGCAAGUCGAGCGAGUGAAUCUCCUUCGGGAGUGAAGCUAGCGGCGGACGGGUGAGUAACACGUGGGCAACCUGCCUCAUAGAGGGGAAUAGCCUUUCGAAAGGAAGAUUUAUACCGCAUAAGAUUGUAGCUUCGCAUGAAGUAGCAAUUAAAGGAGCAAUCCGCUAUGAGAUGGGCCCGCGGCGCAUUAGCUAGUUGGUGAGGUAACGGCUCACAAAGGCGACGAUGCGUAGCCGACCUGAGAGGGUGAUCGGCCACAUUGGGACUGAGACACGGCCCAGACUCCUACGGGAGGCAGCAGUGGGGAAUAUUGCACAAUGGGGGAAACCCUGAUGCAGCAACGCCGCGUGAGUGAUGACGGCCUUCGGGUUGUAAAGCUCUGUCUUCAGGGACGAUAAUGACGGUACCUGAGGAGGAAGCCACGGCUAACUACGUGCCAGCAGCCGCCGUAACAC
rnacentral:rRNA from 1 species